GGAGUCUGAAGGACAAAGGUUGAAAAGAAAUUACCCUUGGUGCUAUUAACUAAACACACGCACAGGAAGGGUUAAUAGGGCUUUUUAAAGUGGGGUAGGGGGAGAGAACAGAGAAAAUAAGAAACACAAAAUGCUAACCCAUCAAAAUAAAUGCUUAUUUUACAUUCAGGCUGUGAUUUAUUCUUGAUAUAAAAUGUCUAGACAGUUAAUAAAGUUAACUGAAAGCAGUAAGGUUGGAGGGGGAUAAAAGUCAAAUCUGAUUGAGGGGCUCAAUCUGGUUCAUAACAGUAACGUAAGGAGGAGCCUGGGAGGAUGGGUAAGCACCGCCAGGCAGUGUUCGAAACAGGCUGUUCCAAGCAGAGAGGGGAAGGUCAGUUCCAUCUAUCAGGCUGGGAACCUGACUGCGAAAGGCUCUGUGUUCUGGAAAAGGCUUCACAUUAACGGACCACACUGAAACUAAAAAGAGGCAGCUGGACAUCACUUCCCCAAGAAGUCAUAUUCCCCUCCAGUUAACAAAAGACUUUUGCCCCCACCUUCCUCUUCAACUCUUAGACUGUGGCUUUUUGAAGUUUUACACCACCACAGCCGCCCUGUUUAAGAUGCUUUUCUGAGCUACCAGGUUCGUGGAGAGCGCCUUAAUUUCUUAAGUACCACCCUACUUAAUUUCCAGUUACCAUCCAAGAAGAGAAAUGCGAGAAAGUCCAGGUGUUUUUCUGUUCCCUCCCACCUCCCAAGUUCUGCCAGGUUUUUACAGAAGCACAGGGCAGGAAGACCAAGAAUCUACCCUGGUUUAAGACCAGCCAGAAUUCCAGUGAUGGGCAGCGACCCUCUCCAGGGCAGCGGCAAGAAAGGCGUGUGUUAUGAGACAAAACAUCACCAACAGCCUCUGGUGCCAAUAAGCACAAGAACUGUUCAUUUUUCUCAAGAAAUGUGUUUUGACUAACAUCGUAAAGCCAAUUUAUCCACAAAUAUCGUUGGAGAUGUUUUGGGGAGCUCACUUCUGUGCUUAACUUGAGAAUAAAUGGCAUGAAAAUUGAACCACUGGUACUUUCUCGUCUCCUGCUGCCCUGGGAAUACUGCACAUGGUUGACUGAUAAGAUGGUUUCUGCAGGUAACAAAGAUUAUCUGUAGAAUGGCAACCAUCAUCCAAAACAAUCCAGGACCCUAGAAGUAAAACUGUUUAAGAAACUUC